rnacentral:lncRNA from 1 species
CACCUAGGGAUGCGUUUGCUAUGCAUGAGUAGUCCUGUGGACUUCAUGGGCUCUGCUUGCUGGUUGGAAAUGCAGCUUGUUUGUGCUCAGGGAUCAGCCAGUUCUCACUGCAGCAGAGCUGUUCCAGGCAGUAAGGCCACAGGGAUAGAGCUGAAGGGAAACUACUGGAAGCCAUUGGGAAAGGCCUACUACGUCAUCUUGUCCCUGGUCUGCCAUGUACUUUUUAAGUUUUCAUUUUUCCAGGUACUUUCUGUUCCUCGCCAGUUACGGUCUUGCCAAGUUUUACAGGAUUUGUUUCUUCUUCCAGCCUGUCAGCUUGGAAGGCCCAGCUGAGAUUUUGAAAGGGCCUACCUGCCAGGAGAAUGGAUAAAUUCUGUAACAUUACAGUGGUGUUCGCUUGGCAGCAUCUGCAGGAGCCACUAAUGGAGGAUCUCAUCUUGUGGGGGAAAAAAAAAAAGGUUAAAAAAGGAGAGAAAUGCAGCUGGAAGAAGAGGAGAUUCAGAAGCAAAGGGAAGAUGUCGAUGCCAAGUGAAAACAGCACCA